rnacentral:lncRNA from 1 species
UACUAAUAUAUAUCUUACACUAACACCCCCUCCCUCUCUCUCUCUCUCUCCUUAGCUAACACGUAACAGCAUGAUAGGCCUAACAGUACAGCAUAGGCCUAGCAUAUACGUAUGUACAUUGUAGUGAGUGAGUUGUAGCAGCAGACUCUUACAAGAAAGGUACCAUACAUAGAUUUUCACAGGAAACCGCAUAUCGCCUGUAUUCUGGAACGCCUUGCCGCCUCCCCCCACCUCUCUCUCUCUCUCUCUCUGACAAUUUGUUUUCCAAGGCCACAGAGACGAUUAGGCAGGUUUUCAAGUUUCUCCUUUGAAUACACUAGAAAUGUUGCCAAUUCAUCACCAGAACUAUGAAAACACUCUUAAAAACACGAAUAGAGACAACUAUCCACGUUUUAUCCUUUCAAUACACUAGAAAUCUUACUAAUUCAUCACCAGAACCAUACAAACGCGAGUAUCUUCAACUGGGGCCUAUGGAGAGCAGUGGCGGUGUGAGCAAAGGCCUUUCAGAAUACGUGCCUAAGUAUUGAAGUCUUUACAAUCAUACUCUACAAUUGAUUUCUUGAUUUUGUUAUUGAGUUAAGAAGAAAUUGUGUUUUUUGUUCUUUUUUAUAUAUUUUUGGUUUGUUUUGAUGUUUUGGCUUAAUUUACAGCAAGGGAGGGAGGGAGGGACGGACACAAUGAUGCGCCAAUGCUAUGCUAAUCUAUGCUAUGUUAUGCUGUUAUGCUAGUACUAUGCUAAUCCUAAUGUUAUGCUAUGCUAACCUAACCUAAUGCAAUGCUAAAUGCUAUGCUAAUGUUAUGCUAUUCUAUGCUGACCUGUUAUGUUGACCUAUGCUGAUGUUAUGCUAAGAUGUUAUGCUAUGCUGUGCCAAGCUAUGCUAAUCCUGUUAUGUUGCUAUGCUAACCUAUACUAAUGUUAUGCUAUGCUAUGCUAACCUAUGCUAUUAUUAUGCUAAUACUAUGCUUAACUAUGCUAAUGUGCUAAUCUAUGCUAUUGUGAUGCUAAUCUAUGCUGCUCUUAUGCUAACCUUGUUCUUAUGCUGUUAAUUGUUAUGCUAUGCUAAUGCUAUGUUAUGCUAUGCUAUGCUACAAUGCUUAACACAGCAGGUUAUGGUGUGGGGAGACUUGAAAAAUAUGUGGUGAAUGAAAUGGUUAGGUUAGGUUAGGUUAAGAUAAGGUCAAGUUAGAUAAAGGUCAAGUGAGAUAAGGUCAAGAUAAAGUUUAAGGUACAUAAGGUCAAGUUAGUAUGAAUAAAGCUAGGUUGAGUUAGGUUAGGUUAAGUUAGAUAAGAAUAAGUUACAUUAUUUGAAAGUAUAUAAAAAAAGUUAGGUUAGGUUAGACAAAAUUGAAGUUCCAUUAGGUCAAUAUUAAUAAAAGCUAGGUUGAGUUAGGUUAGGUUAGGUAAGGUUAGGUUAGGUUAGGUUAGGUUAGGUUAGACAAAAUUGAAGUUCCAUUAGGUCAAUAUUAAUAAAAACUAGGUUGAGUUAGGUUAGGUUAGGUUAGGUAAGGUUAGGUUAGGUUAGGUUAGCUAAGGUUAGGUUAGGUUAGACAAAAUUGAAGUUCCAUUAGGUCAAUAUUAAUAAAAGCUAGACUGAGUUAGGUUAGGUCAAGUUAGAUGAAGUUAGUAGAAAAGCUAGGUUGAGUUAGGUUAGGUUAGGUUAGGUUAGAUCAAGCUGUAUUAUUUAAAGAUCAGUUAUAAUUUCUCGUUGACAAUAAAUAGUGCAGUUAUUGAAGUUAUUAGACAUUAGUUAAGGUGUGGACAUUAGAAACACUGAUAAGAAAAGCUGUCCUCUUAAGCUUGUAUAUCUCAGAAAAGUUACGAUUUUAAGCUUAAAUGUGAGGGAAUGACUGUUUGAAAGCUUAAAUACAGGCAGAGAGUGAAAGAUUAGGUUACAGAAGCUUUAAUAAUAAUAAUAAUAAUAAUAAUAAUAAUAAUAAUAAUAAUAAUAAUAAUAAUAAUUCGACUAAUAUAUUGUUGGAAAUCUUGUGAAUCAGAGAGAGAGAGAGAGAGAGAGAGAGAGAGAGAGAGAGAGAGAGAGAGAGAGAGAGAGAGAGAGAGA